GAUGAACGCUGACGGCGUGCCUAAUACAUGCAAGUCGAGCGAACGGACGAGAAGCUUGCUUCUCUGAUGUUAGCGGCGGACGGGUGAGUAACACGUGGAUAACCUACCUAUAAGACUGGGAUAACUUCGGGAAACCGGAGCUAAUACCGGAUAAUAUUUUGAACCGCAUGGUUCAAAAGUGAAAGACGGUCUUGCUGUCACUUAUAGAUGGAUCCGCGCUGCAUUAGCUAGUUGGUAAGGUAACGGCUUACCAAGGCAACGAUGCCUAGCCGACCUGAGAGGGUGAUCGGCCACACUGGAACUGAGACACGGUCCAGACUCCUACGGGAGGCAGCAGUAGGGAAUCUUCCGCAAUGGGCGAAAGCCUGACGGAGCAACGCCGCGUGAGUGAUGAAGGUCUUCGGAUCGUAAAACUCUGUUAUUAGGGAAGAACAUAUGUGUAAGUAACUGUGCACAUCUUGACGGUACCUAAUCAGAAAGCCACGGCUAACUACGUG
rnacentral:rRNA from 1 species